ensembl:lncRNA
GCACGCUGAGUGUGUGAAUAGGUGCAAGCAAUUUGUGAGCAAAUGAGGAACAAACUCUCACAUUCACUUGUAAAGUAUUCAGGCUCAAUGCUGUGGCCAAACGGAUCUAAAAACAUCGCAGGCUCUAAUAGAUGUAUGUUUCUGUGGUUUGGUUGUGUGAUUCACCGGAAAUGCUAUCUGUGGUAUUCUGAGAAGCAGUUCGGCAAAAUGAUACGUGAGUACAUCAAAGUUCACUUAGACAAGCAUCUUCUUUGGAGUCGGUCUUAUAGGAUUGUUCUUCAUCAUGGCUGGACGCCUGCUGUUUGUCACCCUCAUGUAUUCCUGUGCCAAUACUAAAACACAAGCUCGUCCUCAACUCAUAAUGAAUUCAGCGGUGAUCUCAGAGACGGAAACAGUCACAUUGGACUGUCGAGCUCCAUCAUAUCCUACUGUCCACCAGUGUUAUUUCACCAUUAUCGGAGCAAAACAUGCCAAAGGCUUCACUUGUGUGCAGACACUGACAGGAACUGAACUGUUGAGGAUGUCAGACCAGAGAGCACCUGCUGAGGUUAAAGUGGAUUGUUAUUACACUGUAAUGGUUGGAGACGUGAAUCAUCCAUCUGCACACAGUGUCACAUCAUCCAUCACAAUCCAAACAGGUCUUUGUGCUUCCAGGCCUGUAACUACUGUAAAGCAAACAUCAGCAGGUCUCAGUGCUUCCAGGCCUGUAACUCGUAUAAAGCAAACACCAGAUCAAACCUUUGGACCAAGAAACUCUGGUAGUUUUAGUUCUCCUCCCCUCACAACAGACAAACCAACAUCAGAUGUUGUCGAGUCGAGCACGACGCAGACUAAGCCGGCAUCUACUGUGACCACAGCAGGUCUCAGUGCUUCCACGCCUGUAACUCGUAUAAAGCAAACAUCAGCAGAUCAAACCUUUGGACCAAGAAACUCUGGUAGUUUUAGUUCUCCUCCCCUCACAACAGACAAACCAACAUCAGAAAUGCAGAGAUGGAUGUUCAUGGUGAUUGCGAUUUGUUUGGGAGGUUUUUUCUCUAUUUCCUUACUGGGACUGGGCCUUCUGUGUAGCAAAAGAACAUUGGGUAAGAACUUGACUUUUGUGUCAGAUAUGAACUGUCAAAGAAUUUGAGCAGAGGGUCAAAGAGACCCUUUUGAACACAACUUGCAUGUAACUCUGUUUAGAGAACAGCAUCGUUUACCACAUUUGCAUUAAUGUGAUUGGAUGUUAGUAGUUCCUCACCUGUAAGUAUUCCAGAGAGAGCUAAUGCCAAAACAAGCACAACUUCCAAGGAAACUGCCUCAUGUAACAAUAUGCUUUUCUCUCUCUUAUAUUUUUCAGAAAUAAGUUCUUACAGGAGGUCACAAGCUGAUGUCACUGGUAAUAUGCACACGUAGUCAGACAUCAUCACUAUUAUUUAUAUGCAUAUUUAUAUUUUGGUCUUUCAGGGUAUUCGGGUGUGUUUUACUUGAUGUUGCAGUUGUCAUAAUAUUACAUUACAUGUCAUUUAGCUGACUCUUUUAUCCAAAGCGACUUACAUUGCAUUUUUAACCCAUGUUCUUCUAUAUUUUUAACCCAUCCCGGACAUUGGGAGUAGUGUGCAGCCGUAAAGGCGCCCGGGUGUCUUGCUUAGGAACACUUCUACAUUGGGACAUGGAGCAGCCAGGGUUCGAACCGCCUUGCGGUUCCCGGCACACCCUGUCUACUUCAUGCGCCACCGUCGCUAAUAUGAGAUAUCUUGAACAUGGAGAAUUGGUAAUAAAUAUAUAAUUUGUCAAGAUGGAUUACUUUUUUCAUUUAUUUAUGAAAUCCUCUCAAUUCCUCUUGCCUCCUAUUGAUUGGAGCUUUUAUUUCCAAAAUACCUUCCUGGCUUGUUUCAAAUUAUAUUAAAUUUAGGGGCGCACAACAGAUUCUUAUAAAGAUCAGGUGGAGCGUAUUGUUGGCUUUUUACAAAAAACCAACUUGACAAAAAGCAUCAUCUUUGUGUGCCGUUGUGUCACAUUUGCAGGUUCUGUGAAACUGGAGGAGCAAACACUUACACAUGAGAACCACGCCAUGUUCCAAAUAUACGCCAAUAUCCCCAACGAGCCACCUGCAUCAGCCAAACAGGACGCAGUGUAAAGCAACCUGAAGCCACAUUGAAACACAAGCAUUUUAUACUGUGUAGAGGAACGGUUGGGCGGACAGUCAAAACAUUUUUUUUUAAAUCAGUUUCUUUUACAUUUUUUAAACAUAAUAUUGUUUGUGAAAUUGCAAUGCAAAUUGUAACUGUAACAAACGACAGGUCUCAGCUGGCUUUAAGAUAAUGUUAGCACACUUCAUAUUUUGUUUUACAGGGAGAAAAGAUUUUAGAAUUUUGACAUAGAAAUACAAACAACUGAUGUUUCUUAUGUUUUGCAGUUAAGCUGCAAAAGUUGCAAUCGUCACCAUUAUUAUUUUGUGAAGUUGGAGGCUGUUGAUUAGCACCACAUUGUAGACAACUUCUUUCUCUUCAAAGUCAAAAUAGUAUAAGCUUGCUUCUUUAGUACUUGUAACACAAUGCCUGCUCAAUUAAACAAAUACAAAAAUAAGAUGACCGUG